GACCUGGCUGGGCGGUCUUGGCUCACGUCAAGCACUGCCUCUGGUCGGGUCUUUCCUUCUGGGGAACCUACGUGCUAUUAAUUUAGUGCGCAGGGGAUCCAGGACUUUUACUUUGAAAAAAUUAGAGUGUUUAAAGCAGGCUUUCGCUUGAAUACAUUAGCAUGGAAUAAUAGAAUAGGACUUUGGUUCUAUUUUGUUGGUUUCUAGGACCGAAGUA
rnacentral:rRNA from 1 species